rnacentral:lncRNA from 1 species
GGCCGUAUCGGGGAUGCUGGAACCUGCGGUUGAGUGAGAAACCGGCGCCACCGCCUGCGUCUUGGUCUCGGGCUGGUGGCCAGCGGGGUCUGGGCGUGGUUUUACCCAGCUCCUUUGCGAAGCUGCUGUCCUUUCCUCAACGUUACCACCCGGCUGGGCAGCCUACCCUCGGUCAGUACGUCCUGGCAAGAGCGCUUCGGGCGUGGCGUUCGUGUCGCGGGGGCCUCGGCUCAGAAGCGAGGGAAGAGCAGCCCUCAGAGGAGCGGCGACCGCGCUUACCGGGAGCCCGGGUUGGGAGAGGGCUCCCCAGGAGGGGUGUGAGCUCCGAACGAGAAAGAACGCCACCGCCUCGUGGGGUCUCUUCCUAAUGUGCAGAUUCCAAAUCUCUACAAUGCUGCAAAAGAGCAGCAACAGGUGUGCACCUUCCAAGCUUGCAACAGACCACAUUCAGAAGCUUGAUUUCUUGUUGUUCUGGGAAUAUCUGGAUCAGAGAUUUCUCCAAGCCACUCUCCCCGUCAUCUCCUCCACCCCCAGGACCCAACUCCUGCCCCUCCCACCCUAGCCCCUGUUCUCCCUGCCCACCUCCUACCCCACUGGAGUGGCCUUUCAUCAAACCUAAACCAAAGAAACCAACAGACCUUGCUGUCACCACUACUCCGGGACCUGGAAGUUAAAGCGAGGGAGAGACGGUGAAACACAGAAAGCAGAACGCCUUCUGUUCUUCCACAACACAGGGUUUGUGGACGUGGCCACUAUAAGAACUCGCACUGCGUGCUGAUUAUACUCCUCAGCACAAUUCAUUUCUUAAACUUUUUAGAAUAAUUUAAAAUUUACAAAAAGUUGCAAAAAUAAAAACCAGUAAACUUUUCACCUUCAUCUGCCUUAUAAUUAAGGCAGCGGGCAGCGCGCUGGACAGAACGGGAGGGGCUUGCGCUUUCCGCCGGUGGGAAACCCCACCCGCAGGGACGAGCCGGGACCAUCUGGCCCUACCUGCCGAACGGCCGCUUGGUGGAGAUGUGUCCCAGAACCGAAGGAGGAGGGUGCCACGCACAUUUGUCUUGCCUUCCCCGGUGGCGGGGGCAUGGCAAGGGCGGAGCUUCCCGCUGUGCCCUUGGAGGCCGCCUGCAACCAGGCUAGUGUAGGUGGGGACGCACGCCCUGUACCCUACCCAUCCUGCCCAUUGCGGGUCUGGCCCGGACCUGAAGGGCAGUAGUUGGGGCCGUCCCCGCGUCUUCUGGGCCCUGUAGUGAAUACAGUCUGCCCCAUUCAAAUCCUUUUCCUCACUUAGGAUUACUGCUGUGUGUCAGUGUCACACACCCCAAAUUGAUAAUGGCUUAAGAUGGGAUUUCUCAUUUAAAAAGAAGUCUUUGGUUGAGUGAGCUGGGGCUAUUUUGGUGUUUCCACAUGGGACCUAGGCUCCUUUUAGCUCAGCACUAUCCUACGUCUAGGGUAUGGCUGAGCUGUUCUCUUGGCCAAGACUGAGCCAGAGCCCGUGGUCAGGUCAGCAUAACCUUUCCAGGCAGCAGGAUAGAGUGGGAAAGAAAGAAGGGUCUGUUGAAGGAAAAUUCCCCCAAGUUCAGUCCUACUUCAUUGGCCAGAACUUAAUCACAUGUCAGACCUAGCUACAAAUUGAAUGAGAAAGUCAAGUAUUUAAGGUGGGUCCCUUAUCUCUCAAAACACUGGGCUUCAGAUAAUAGAGAAGGGAAGGGGUGUCAAGAGGAAACGGCUACCUGUGUCACUGUGCUUAUCAGGAUUCUUACCCUUCUCAAAAUUUCCCAUUGCAGUAUCUUGACUACCCUAUCCCAAACCUAGCACACUUUUACCAAAGACAACUUAACUGGGGAAGCUGCAGCAUGGCAGGCACAUCAUCUAUUGGUCCAACUUCUAUAGGGUUUUCUAUUCUUUACAUUGAAGAAAUGCAAUUGGGUUUGGCCUUUAGGAUCAGUAACAGCAGCUUCUGGUUCUGAUGUCCUCCAUCCUAGUUUCAGUGCUUCUUCCUCUCAGAAUCAGUGCUGAUUCACUUUCUCUUUAUCAAUGAGUUUAAUAUAGUGGCUUCAUUUAUAAGCAAUUAGCUAACUCUAGUAUUUCAUCUGUUCUCAUCAUUUAAUUCUCAGCUAAGGUGCUAAGGUAGGGCCCAGCCAUCUGUUAGGUGAUUCUGCUAUAUCCUAAGGUGAUGUAUCCUAAAAGACACCUAGGGUGCUUUUAGAAACUGCCCAUGCCCAGCCGUAUCCUCAAAGAUUCAGGCAAACAAUUAGCCGGGUGUGGUGGCAUGUGCCUGCAAUCCCAGCUACUCAGGAGGCUUAGGCACGAGAAUUGUUAGAACCCGGGAGAUGGAGGUUGCAGUGAGCCAAGAUUAUGCCACUGCACUCCAGCCUGGAACAAAACCAACCCCCCUACCCACCACCACACACACACACACACACACACACACACACACACACACACACACACACUCAAGCAUGGUUGGGUCUGGAGUAUGGCCUUGGCAUAGGUAAUUUUCAGUGUCCCAAGGGAUUCUAGUGUGCAUGGGGCUGUGAAUCACAGCUCCAGGUGGGCCAACUAUGUGCACACUGGUGCCUGGGGUAGGUACUAAGCCCUGAUCCUCACCCCUGUGCGGGUGCUUCCUAUUAUGCUUUCUGCCUUUAGCCCUCCUCCUCC